AAAAAAGGAGGCUCCUCUGCUACUUGAAAAGGUAAAGGACAAAUAUUCCCUCAUUAAAACUGACUCCUCUGGGCGCCUGGGUGGCUCAGUGGAUUAAAGCC